rnacentral:rRNA from 1 species
GCAGAGCAUCCUACGGGAGGCAGCAGUGGGGAAUAUUUGCACAAUGGGCGCAAGCCUGAUGCAGCCAUGCCGCGUGUAUGAAGAAGGCCUUCGGGUUNUAAAGUACUUUCAGCAGUGAGGAAGUGGGUAUGUUAAUAGCAUACUCAUUUGACGUUAGCUGCAGAAGAAGCACCGGCUAACUCCGUGCCAGCAGCCGCGGUAAUACGGAGGGUGCGAGCGUUAAUCGGAAUUACUGGGCGUAAAGCGCAUGCAGGUGGUUUGUUAAGUCUAGAUGUGAAAGCCCGGGGCUCAACCUCGGAAUUGCAUUUGAAACUGGCAAACUAGAGUACUGUAGAGGGGGUAGAAUUUCAGGUGUAGCGGUGAAAUGCGUAGAGAUCUGAAGGAAUACCGGUGGCGAAGGCGGCCCCCUGGACAGAUACUGACACUCAGAUGCGAAAGCGUGGGGAGCAAACAGGAUUAGAUACCCUGGUAG